rnacentral:lncRNA from 1 species
AUCAGAGCUGUAGCUGCGGGCCUACAUCACAGCCACGAAGGAUCCAAGCCUCAUCUGCAACUACACCACAGCUUAUGGCAGCAGACACCACUGAGCCUUGAUGGGAACUCCCACAAGGGCUUGUUGGAUUAUGGAGAGCAGAAGCGUUCAUUUGAUACCAUUGGCAUGAAGAAGCCAUUGAAUAUUAUCAAAGGAGAGAAAAUAAAAAAGAGCUACUUAUUGGAAAUCUUACCAAUAAACAGAUUAUUGUGACAAUAAUGCUCAAGAUAAUUCGGAAGAAGAAUUAAAAACAACACAGCCAUAUAUUGAAGAUGAAGCUCAAAUACGGUAAAAUUUAAACUGCUUUUUACUUUUCUCAUUCAGAAUCUGAGAUAAGUACCAGAUGUUGUGAUUUCCCAUCCUACAUAUGUUUCCUAGUUCAGGCAUCCAUAACGAAGUACCAUAGACUGGGUGACUUAGAAAGAACAGAAAGGAAUCUCUCACAGUUGUGGAGGCUGGAAGCCUAGGAUAAAGGAGAGAACAUGGUUGGGUUCUUGGUAAGUGACCUCUUUCUGAUUUAUGAAUGACUGCCUGUCUUCUCUCUAUGUUCUCACAGGGUGGAGAGGUAGCUAGCUCUCUGACCUGACUUCUUACAACUUUAUAAAUACCUAUAUCAUUAAUGAGGGUAUUUUUAAAAAACUGUCUUCUCCGGGCCUCCUAAGUAACUUUUAUGAAGCUCUAGUCUUUUUUCUAGCACUUGAUUUCUCAUAAGGUAAAUCUUGUCCCCCCACCCCACCCCACGCCCCACAUUCUUCUUGAGGGCUUUGUGUUUCCUUUCUGAACUAGUGUUUUUAGAUGUGCUUAGUCAUGUGAAAUAUAUGUUUUUUUCUCAUGUCAGAAUAAUUCUCUCCCCAAACAAACUACCAAAUAACCUGGCAAUUGUUUUAAUUUCCUGGGUGGAGAUAUGAAUGACUGCACAUAAUUUAUAAUAAUAAAACAUGAGACUGCAGCUAUAGGGAUGCUUUUGAGAAGGGGUGAAAUAGGAAUUAAUGGAGGGAAUUCAUAGCUUAUUUAAAUCUAAGUAUUGGGUACCAAUGUCAUUUUAGAACAAGGUCCUCAGUAGCACAAAUAUGCCCUUAAAAGGAUACUGAGAAUCUGAAGUGGGGGAAGCUUUAAGUAAGAAUCUUAGCCUUAACUCAUCAGUCUUAACCCAUGCUCCCAAGUAUGU